GUCCAUCAAAGCAUCAGAAGGAAAAAAAGAAAAUGGAGCCAUUACGAGGAUGCACUUCUGAAAUUUUAGCAAAACUCUGGCUUAAAAUGUAAAAACUAAUUAUUCAAUGAUUGUUAGAAUUAAAGAAUGCACCGAACUUGGACAGGUUGGAGCUCAGUGGCUUUGGCCUUGACCCUUCCUGUCCACCUUCUGUUAGAGGCAUUGCUGUCUCAGGGAGGGGCAGACAAAAUGCAGAGACCAGAACACUGCAUACCCUCGUCUACCCUGUUCUCCAGACACGAGUCAGCAGGGCCAUCUUUAUGCUCAAAGGGCCUGAAACCCUCCACAUCUCACAUCUCCAUCAGAGAAGCAGCCAAAGGCCAGAGAGUUCUUUUCCCCAGAGGGAAGCAAGAAGAGGAAUGAAAAACCAGACUGUGUUUGAUCUGCCCCUCAUGGCAAGCCAGAGUCCAGCACAGAUAAGAUGAACAUGACUUUCCAGUUUUAACAAUUUCACUUAAGAUCCAUUCACCCCCAGGCUUUGGCAAGUGCCUUCCUCCCUGCCCAGAAGGCCUCUCACCUUCACCUGCUUGCACCUGCCUCCACUCACAUUUAUCUGACCAAUUCCAGCCUGUCUUUCAAGUUUCUGAAAGCUUAGAGACCAGCCAGCAUCCUUGAC
rnacentral:lncRNA from 1 species